UACGGAGGGGGCGAGCGUUAUUCGGAAUUAUUGGGCGUAAAGGGCGCGUAGGCGGCUAGGUAAGUCAAAGGUGAAAUCCCUCGGCUCAACUGAGGAACUGCCUUUGAAACUGUCUAGCUCGAGGCCGGGAGGGGGUGGCGGAAUUCCCAGUGUAGCGGUGAAAUGCGUAGAUAUUGGGAGGAACACCAGUGGCGGAAGGCGGACCGACCCGCUG
rnacentral:rRNA from 1 species